rnacentral:rRNA from 1 species
GUGCUCCUACGGGAGGCAGCAGUAGGGAAUAUUGCUCAAUGGGGGAAACCCUGAAGCAGCAACGCCGCGUAAGCGAUAAAGUAUUUCGGUAUGUAAAGCUCUAUCAGCAGGGAAGAAAAUGACGGUACCUAACUAAGAAGCCCCGGCUAACUACGUGCCAGCAGCCGCGGUAAUACGUAGGGGGCAAGCGUUAUCCGGAUUUACUGGGUGUAAAGGGAGCGUAGACGGCAAUGCAAGCCAGAUGUGAAAGCCCGGGGCUCAACCCCGGGACUGCAUUUGGAACUGUGUAGCUGGAGUGUCGGAGA